rnacentral:lncRNA from 1 species
UAAAAUAUGUAUAAACAAAAUUUAAAAUUUAAAAGUUUAUUUAAAUUUUUCAUGUACAACCCUGUACUGAAGAAGUAUCUUAUCUCUCACAGUAAUGGAACUUGGAUGCACUCAACUAAUUACUAGUUUAAAGUGAAUAAUACUUGCUGCAUCUAAACUCUGGCCCAAUGGUUACAGUUGGAAUAAGAAUGUCUUGAAUAGAAGGGGUUUUAUUCUGCCAGUGAAGAUUUGUCCCUGUAAUUUCAGGUUGAGGUUAUUGAAUGAUUGAUUGACUACAGUUAUAUGUCUGCUUCACAAAACCUGUAUCCUGGAACUACAAUGCUCAGGGACAAUCCUGUCCUGAAGAAUGCAGUGCCUGAUUUUAGAUUUACUGAAUGAUUAAUGGCUUUUAUCUUCCACACAUUAUAUCAGAUCAACGAUUCAAAGGUACCCUUGUAAAUGAGGCAUUAUCA